rnacentral:rRNA from 1 species
AGAUUGAACGCUGGCGGCAGGCCUAACACGUGCAAGUCGAGCGGUAGAGAGGUGCUUGCAUCUCUUGAGAGCGGCGGACGGGUGAGUAAUGCCUAGGAAUCUGCCUAGUGGUGGGGGAUAACGUUCGGAAACGGACGCUAAUACCGCAUACGUCCUACGGGAGAAAGCGGGGGACCUUCGGGCCUCGCGCCAUUAGAUGAGCCUAGGUCGGAUUAGCUAGUUGGUGAGGUAAUGGCUCACCAAGGCGACGAUCCGUAACUGGUCUGAGAGGAUGAUCAGUCACACUGGAACUGAGACACGGUCCAGACUCCUACGGGAGCAGCAGUGGGGAAUA